CCUACGGGAGGCAGCAGUGAGGAAUAUUGGUCAAUGGGCGGGAGCCUGAACCAGCCAAGUCGCGUGAGGGAAGACGGUCCUAUGGAUUGUAAACCUCUUUAGGCGGGGAGCAAUGCCGGGCACGCGUGCCCGGAGGGAGAGUACCCGCAGAAUAAGCAUCGGCUAACCCCGUGCCAGCAGCCGCGGUAAUACGGAGGAUGCGAGCGUUAUCCGGAUUUAUUGGGUUUAAAGGGUGCGUAGGCGGGUUUUUAAGUCAGCGGUAAAAUGUCGGGGGGCAACCCGGGCCGGCCGUGGAACAGGGGGGAUGAGAGAGGGAGAGAAGGAUGCGGAAUGCGAGGGGGAGAGGUGAAAGGCAUAGAUAUCGAGCAGAA
rnacentral:rRNA from 1 species